rnacentral:lncRNA from 1 species
GUGGUAAUAGUAUGUUUUCCUUCCGUGAAUCUCGCUUCCAAAUAUCUCAUAUCAAUAACUAUGGGUUCUACAGUCAUUUCAGGUGACUGUUUUUUGUUUUUUUGUUUUUUUGUUUUUUGUUGUUUUUUUGUUUUUUGUUGUUGUUUACAAUUUGAUGUAGAGUGUGGUAUUAUUGGUUGAUAGUUACAUGUAAGAUGAACAACAGUAUUAUACGCUUUUG